GCGAAAGCGUGGGGAGCAAACAGGAUUAGAUACCUGGUAGUCCACGCUGUAAACGAUGUCGAUUUGGAGGUUGUUCCCUUGAGGAGUGGCUUCCGGAGCUAACGCGUUAAAUCGACCGCUGGGGAGUACGGCCGCAAGGUUAAAACUCAAAUGAAUUGACGGGGGCCCGCACAAGCGGUGGAGCAUGUGGUUUAAUUCGAUGCAACGCGAAGAACCUUACCUACUCUUGACAUCCAGAGAAUUUAGCAGAGAUGCUUUAGUGCCUUCGGGAACUCUGAGACAGGUGCUGCAUGGCUGUCGUCAGCUCGUGUUGUGAAAUGUUGGGUUAAGUCCCGCAACGAGCGCAACCCUUAUCCUUUGUUGCCAGCACAUUAUGGUGGGAACUCAAAGGAGACUGCCGGUGAUAAACCGGAGGAAGGUGGGGAUGACGUCAAGUCAUCAUGGCCCUUACGAGUAGGGCUACACACGUGCUACAAUGGCGUAUACAAAGAGAAGCGACCUCGCGAGAGCAAGCGGAACUCAUAAAGUACGUCGUAGUCCGGAUUGGAGUCUGCAACUCGACUCCAUGAAGUCGGAAUCGCUAGUAAUCGUAGAUCAGAAUGCUACGGUGAAUACGUUCCCGGGCCUUGUACACACCGCCCGUCACACCAUGGGAGUGGGUUGCAAAAGAAGUAGGUAGCUUAACCUUCGGGAGGGCGCUUACCACUUUGUGAUUCAUGACUGGGGUGAAGUCGUAACAAGGUAACCA
rnacentral:rRNA from 1 species